GUAUUGUUGAAGUGUCCCAAACUAGGACGAAACAGCUGUCUUGCAAUAC
rfam:Trichobilharzia regenti genome assembly, scaffold: TRE_contig0035976